AUUGAACGCUGGCGGCAUGAUUUACACAUGCAAGUCGAACGGUAACAGGCCGCAAGGUGCUGACGAGUGGCGAACGGGUGAGUAAUGCAUCGGAACGUGCCCAGUCGUGGGGGAUAACUACUCGAAAGAGUAGCUAAUACCGCAUACGAUCUAUGGAUGAAAGCGGGGGACCGUAAGGCCUCGCGCGAUUGGAGCGGCCGAUGUCAGAUUAGGUAGUUGGUGGGGUAAAGGCUCACCAAGCCAACGAUCUGUAGCUGGUCUGAGAGGACGACCAGCCCCACUGGGACUGAGACACGGCCCAGACUCCUACGGGAGGCAGCAGUGGGGAAUUUUGGACAAUGGGCGCAAGCCUGAUCCAGCAAUGCCGCGUGCAGGAAGAAGGCCUUCGGGUUGUAAACUGCUUUUGUACGGAACGAAACGGCUCUGGUUAAUACCCGGGGCUAAUGACGGUACCGUAAGAAUAAGCACCGGCUAACUACGUG
rnacentral:rRNA from 1 species